ACCUGGCCGGCUCAGUUGGAAGAGUGUGAAACUCUUAAUCUCAGUGUCGUGAGUUCAAGCCUUAUGUUGGGUG
rnacentral:tRNA from 1 species